AUUGAACGCUGGCGGCAGGCCUAACACAUGCAAGUCGAACGAGUGGCGGACGGGUGAGUAAUGUCUGGGAAACUGCCUGAUGGAGGGGGAUAACUACUGGAAACGGUAGCUAAUAACGCAUACCAUCGGAUGUGCCCAGAUGGGAUUAGCUAGUAGGUGGGGUAAAUGCUCACCUAGGCGACGAUCCCUAGCUGGUCUGAGAGGAUGACCAGCCACACUGGAACUGAGACACGGUCCAGACUCCUACGGGAGGCAGCAGUGGGGAAUAUUGCACAUGGGGCGCAAGCCUGAUGCAGCCAUGCCGCGUGUAUGAAGAAGCCCUUCGGGUUGUAAAGUACUUUUGGCAGAGAAGCGGUAUCUGCAGAAUAAGCACCGGCUAACUACGUGCCAGCAGCCGCGGUAAUUC
rnacentral:rRNA from 1 species